AUGCGAGAAGUAAUGUGAAUUGCAGAAUUCAGUGAAUCAUCGAAUCUUUGAACGCACAUUGCGCCCGCCAGUAUUCUGGCGGGCAUGCCUGUUCGAGCGUCAUUU
rnacentral:rRNA from 1 species